ACAACCUCGUACCCAGGGCUAGCCGCGAAUUGAAGGCGGCGGCGUAGCCCUGGUAAACGCUGGUCACGUGACUCGAACAUUACGUAAUUGUUACUUUUCUGAUCCGGGGGGUGAAUUCUAGAGGUGAAACUCGACGACCAACAGUUUUUAGGUUUUUAGUACGAAAUUCUUCAAUCUUCCCUGUGAAUUUUGCAUUUCAAGCUUUUCUCAAAGUACGGCGAUCGAUCAAAUGGAUCAAUACUUUCUGUGGAAAAAACUCAGUGAGAUUUGUUCGUAUGCGACGUUUAAAAGACUUGGAUAUGUCGCUCAACGGCUCAAGACGCUCGAUCAUUGCACAGGUUUAUGGUUUAGUACUUUGUUCAGUUUGUUGCGACUUGCGAAGCAAAUGAAUGCAAAUUCAACUCUUGUAUCAUGACUAAAAGUUGGUUAGUAGAGGGACAACUGAUACAAAAGAUAUGAAUACUUCAGCUUCAAACUAGGAACAAGUUCUGAUUUCAGAAGUUCAUGGACAUCCCUAAUAUAUGGACAUUGAUAUUUCACCAAUAUGUAAAUAUGACUAUUAAAUAUUUAAAAGGAUUGCUGUUGUAUAUGUACAAGUGUUGUGCUGUGGUAUUUACGUUUUAACCCUUUAAGUCAAUGCACCCAGAUGCGCCCUACUUUGUUAGUUUACUCUGUCUAACGCCAGACAAUUUUACUUGUCAG